ACACCAGACAGUAGACAGAGAACAAGAGGAAGCAGAUUCCAGAAGCAGCAGCUGAGAUCCACUUCUAGAGGCUGCCCGCAUUCUUUGGCUCAUGGCCCUCUUCCAUCUUCGCAGGAGUAAUAGUGAGUCCUUCUCAGAUCACCUCACUCUGACUCUCCCGCCUCCCUCUUCCAUUUCUAAAAACACUUCUGACGGCAUGAGGCCCACCUGGACAAUGUAGGAUGAUCUCCACAUCUCAAGAGUCUUGCUCUGUCGCCCAGGCUGGAGUGCACUGGCAAUGAUGUCUGCUCACUGCAACCUCUGCCUCCUGGGCUCAAGAGCCUCCUGAGUAGCUGGGACCACAGCUGAGCACCACCAUGCCCAGCCAAUUUUUAUAUUUUUAGUAAAGACAGGGUUUUGCCAUGUUGCCCAGGAUGGUCUCAAACUCCCGAACUCAAGCAGUCCACCCACCUCGGCCUCCCAAAGUGCUGGGAUUACAGACAUGAGCCACCACAUGCAGCCAAGAAUUUCUGAAUAAUGAAUUUCAUCAGAAGAAAAGUGAUCUAAUAUACAAGGUCAGAGAUAAUAAAGAAUGCAGAGAAAGAUAUUGGAAAUACAAUACAUGGACAUAUCUAUGGGAACAUUCACUGUGAAACAUAACUAAGAUCAAUGUCUUGUGAGGCUAAAAAUGAAAACAAGUUUUAAGUACACAAAGAAAACUCCUUCGAUGUUUUGUAACAAUAAAG
rnacentral:lncRNA from 1 species